UCCUACGGGAGGCAGCAGUGGGGAAUUUUGGACAAUGGGGGCAACCCUGAUCCAGCAAUGCCGCGUGAGUGAAGAAGGCCUUCGGGUUGUAAAGCUCUUUUGUCCGGAAAGAAAUCGCUCGGGAUAAUACCUCGGGUGGAUGACGGUACCGGAAGAAUAAGCACCGGCUAACUACGUGCCAGCAGCCGCGGUAAUACGUAGGGUGCGAGCGUUAAUCGGAAUUACUGGGCGUAAAGCGUGCGCAGGCGGUUGUGUAAGACAGAGGUGAAAUCCCCGGGCUUAACCUGGGAACUGCCUUUGUGACUGCACGGCUAGAAUCUGGCAGAGGGGGGUAGAAUUCCACGUGUAGCAGUGAAAUGCGUAGAGAUGUGGAGGAAUACCGAUGGCGAAGGCAGCCCCCUGGGCCAAGAUUGACGCUCAUGCACGAAAGCGUGGGGAGCAAACAGGAUUAGAUACCCCGGUAGU
rnacentral:rRNA from 1 species